GUAAGAAUUGCAGUCUGUCCCACAAGAAUUUAAUGUGACAUGCGGCAAUUUUUACAG
rnacentral:pre_miRNA from 1 species